rnacentral:rRNA from 1 species
GACGAACGCUGGCGGCGUGCUUAACACAUGCAAGUCGAACGGAAAGGCCCUGCUUUUGUGGGGUGCUCGAGUGGCGAACGGGUGAGUAACACGUGAGUAACCUGCCCUUGACUUUGGGAUAACUUCAGGAAACUGGGGCUAAUACCGGAUAGGAGCUCCUGCUGCAUGGUGGGGGUUGGAAAGUUUCGGCGGUUGGGGAUGGACUCGCGGCUUAUCAGCUUGUUGGUGGGGUAGUGGCUUACCAAGGCUUUGACGGGUAGCCGGCCCGAGAGGGUGACCGGCCACAUUGGGCCUGAGGUACGGCCCAGACUGCUACGGGAGGCAGCAGUGGGGAAUAUUGCACAAUGGGCGGAAGCCUGAUGCAGCAACGCCGCGUGCGGGAUGACGGCCUUCGGGUUGUAAACCGCUUUCGCCUGUGACGAAGCGUGAGUGACGGUAAUGGGUAAAGAAGCACCGGCUAACUACGUG